CUGCAUCAGAGGCCAACAGCAUCCCAGGAUUUGCACACAUGAUGAUGGCGGAUCAAGCCAAGGGCAAAGGUACAGAACAGUUUUCUUCUUCAAGUUGUGCUCUCUUGUGUUUACAUCCAUGUUUUUAGUGCUUUUUUUUGUGCUAAUAGCUGUUCACCAUGUCUGACUUUUAAAAAAGUGUAAUUAAAUCAGUAUUAAUUGAAGACAAACACAAAAGGUAUUCUAACUCCAGUCUGAAUGGUCUUAACUGUGGCGUCUGCCUCCCUGGUGGUCUUAUACCCAGUAGGUAUUUGUAUCAGCUGCUAAAAUGCAUAAACGGCACAGUAUGACUCAGUCUCAUGAGGGUUUAUCUAGCUUGAGACCAUGAAUGAUGCUUUAUUUGCCAUGCGGUGUUUGUUGUGGUUUUGAUCUUGCAUGUGGAGUUUUGAGAAAUGUUGUGUUUGUGUUCAGCCAGGUGCCAAAAUGACUUUCUCUGCAUGUUUUUUUAAAGAAGGAGAGAAAGAAAGAACUGUGAUAUUUCAGUCUGGCAGUACAUGUGUGCUGUCAUGUCAUUUCAUAGCUGGCUCCUCUAGGGAGGCUUGUAGAUGGGCCCGAUUUAGCCUUGACUUGCUGUUGGGCUGAGCAUCCCUGUGGAACGCUGUUGUACCACAUGUCAUCCCUGCCGUCUCACCCGAUCCAAAAUUUCAUGUCUCAGAGUGGCCAAAUAACUUCAUUCUUCAAUAGACAAGGCUUGGAAUUGUCUUGAUUCUUUGCAG